UACGUAGGGUGCGAGCGUUGGCCGGAAUUAUUGGGCGUAAAGAGCGCGUAGGCGGUUUGUCGCGUCGGCCGUGAAAACUUGGGGCUUAACCCCAAGCCUGCGGUCGAUACGGGCAGACUUGAGUUCGGCAGGGGAGACUGGAAUUCCUGGUGUAGCGGUGAAAUGCGCAGAUAUCAGGAGGAACACCGGUGGCGAAGGCGGAUCUCUGGGCCUUACCUGACGCUGAGGAGCGAAAGCAUGGGGAGCAAACAGG
rnacentral:rRNA from 1 species